CGUAGGGUGCGAGCGUUGUCCGGAAUUAUUGGGCGUAAAGAGCUCGUAGGCGGUUCGUCGCGUCGAAUGUGAAAUCCCGGGGCUCAACUCCGGGUCUGCAUUCGAUACGGGCGGACUAGAGUUCGGUAGGGGAGACUGGAAUUCCUGGUGUAGCGGUGAAAUGCGCAGAUAUCAGGAGGAACACCGGUGGCGAAGGCGGGUCUCUGGGCCGGAUACUGACGCUGAGGAGCGAAAGCGUGGGGAGCGAACAGGAUU
rnacentral:rRNA from 1 species